rnacentral:lncRNA from 1 species
UGAAUUGUGUUGUGGUGAAUAUUCAUUCAUAAUUUUCUUUCUUUUCCGUCCUGGGCACAGGUUCCCUUGUGAGAAGAAUACACUGACUUUGGAGUUGCCCAAGUGGCUUGCUAUCACAUACAAAGAGGAGAGAAGCCAUGGUAUGUGAGGUCCAAGAAAAUGCCUUCAGCCAUCUUGCACUUCUGCUCUCCACAAUGAGUAGAUUGUGCCUGUGGUAGGCAUUGUUUUUCAUCCUGAAUCCUGGAUACAGAGACUCAUGGAGUAGAUUGGAACCCAGACUGUAAACUGGCGUGAAGAGCAACUCAAUUGGCCAGUACACUGCCACCGAAGUUGUGAAAGACAUCCUCUGCUCUUCUCUCCCCUUCUGACAGGUAUUAUCUUAAAGCUCCAUUCUUUUAUUUCCUUUGGAGCCCAUAACGUCUCAAAACUUUCUUUGGCUGCAUUCUACUAAGAAUAGUAGUUACCCUCAGCUUGCACUAUAUAAUUUGUCCUCUUGCAUUUGUGUUGUAAGUUAACAUUAACCUAUCUGAUGGAUAUUUGAGGACUUUCAGAAAAUAAGUGGUCACAAAUACUGGCUCAUCUUUGGUUGGCAGGAAGAAACAGAAAAUUAAGGAAUAGUCGGUGCUGGAUCUUGAAAGUCCACAUUCCUUAUCAAUAUAGAGGGACUCCUAAUUCAUAGAGUUUGUCAGGAAGGUCUUAGGACCUCUUGACAAGAAAUAAUUGCAUCAUCUAACUUUAAAAAGUCACUACUUUUCACAGGCAAAUUUAAUGAAGAAAAAUCUUAUCAUGUUUUGGUGAUAAGUCCUCAAAGAUACAUAGAUGUCAGCUAUUUAACAUUAGCCUAAAGGUAUAAAAAUCUGAGUCCAAACUGG